rnacentral:rRNA from 1 species
UACGAAGGUGGCUAGCGUUGUUCGGAUUUAUUGGGCGUAAAGGGUCCGCAGGCGGUUUAAUAAGUCAGAUGUGAAAUCCCACAGCUCAACUGUGGACACGCGUUUGAAACUAUUAGACUAGAGUAUGAGAGGGGUGAGAGGAAUUUCCAGUGUAGGGGUGAAAUCCGUAGAUAUUCGGAGGAACACCAGUGGCGAAGGCGGCUCACUGGCUCGGUACUGACGCUGAGGUGCGAAAGCGUGGGGAGCAAACAGG